UUUAACAAUCUUCUCAUUAGAGGGAUAUAUAUAUAUAUAUAUCCAAUUAGAAGACUGCUAAAAUGAGAAGAAUGAGAAAGAUUAUGCACCGUUUGAUUUAAUAAAUCUGAUGGCUAUAGUUCCGCGGUUUUAUUAAUGGCGAAACGGUCAAUAGAAGUUCUUACAACUUAAAAGAAUACACGUGGUAUGAAGUUGUCCCACAAACCUUUGAACCAAAAAUUAGUACCAGCACCCACCUACCAUCUAAUAUGUCUCUCUCCUCCCCCACUCUCUCUCUCCUUGGCUCCAUCAUACCAAACAAAAUAAGACUACCAUUGUGAUUUAAGAAAUUAUGGAAAGGAAUUGAAUAUCUAGUACCACUAUUUAUUGGAAUUGUUGUAGUUGGAUCUGAUCAGGAAGAUCAACGAGCUUUGAAUUUUUGCCCUCCUUUUUAUCUCUCCUCCAUUUUUUUCAUGUCCAGUCCAUCUAAUUUGGAAACUCAAAGAACUCAAUUUGCAAAUUAGACUUAAUGAUGUAGUCUAGUGGUUAAUUGGUUUAUCGUUAUUAGGUAUAGUGUUAUGUGAUAUUUGUGAGGAAUUUUAUUUUUUUCAAAUUUUCAAUUGAAACUGAGUUUUUUUAUCAUGAAAAAAACAACAGAGCUCUAUAAUUAUAUGGGUGAAUUAGGAGGACUAGAGGAGGGUAAUGGAUGCCCAUGAAUGUGUGAAGAGGAGAGAGAAAAUGGAUCUCUGAAAGUUUGCAGGAAAUAAGUAAAUUUGAUUUUGCUCAUUUGCACAAAUGAGUAACUUUUUUGCUCAUUUGCACAAAUGAGUAACUUUUUUGCUCAUUUGCAUAAAUGAGUUUUUUUUUUUGCUCAUUUGCCUAAAUGAGUAAUUUUUUUUGCUCAUUUACAUAAAUGAGUAAUUUUUUUUGCUCAUUUGCUUAGAUGAGCAAAUUGUUUUUUUGCUCAUUUAGUGAAAUGAGCAAUUUCGUCCAACAUUCAUCUUCUUCUCUCUUUUUGGAUUUUCUAAAUACCAACAAACACCAUGGAAGGCAAGCUUCAGCAUCAUCUCGACAAGGGCAACAAAAACAAAGAAUUAAAUAACUCAAAUUUGUUAUUAAAUCAAAUUAGUUGAAUCUACAGGUGAGGUUGCCAUUGAUGGAUGUGUGAGGAGAGAGAAAAUGAAGGAGGAGGGUUUGGGAGACGGUACAUGCUACCAUGGAUGAAUGAUUGGCGGUGAAUUGUCCUUUUUUGGGGUAAAUAUUUGAUGUCUCUUUACGUGGAUUGUAAUUAAAAUUUAUGAAUUUUUCAUUUUUUUUUCUGGUUUUACAAUGGUGUUGUGGACGAGUGGGCCAUUGUUGAUUGCAGGAGAGGAAGAGGAGAGAGAAACUAGAGUGCUACCAUGGUUGAAUGUAUGAGGAGGAGAGAGAAAAUAGAUUUCAGAAAGUCCAGAAGAAGGAGACCGUGAAAAUUUAAAGAAAUCAAAUCUGAUCUUGACCGUAGGUUUUGUCGCUUAAGAUUUCUUCUCAUUCUUCUCAUUAUAAGGUGUCUUCUCAUUUGAGUGUAUAUAUAUAUAUAUCUCUAUUCUAUAAAGGAACAGCUGAGGACAUAAGAGUAAAACCACUUUUCGUGUCCCCCGGUGAAUUGACGAAAUUACCCCCAGCCUUUCACUCUCGCACAAUCACAUACGGAGUAGCUCUCUUUCUCUCUCCUAGGUCUUCGGCAUCCCUGCUCCCUCCCGUUUUCUCUCUCCUUCCUCUUCAUCUUCUUCCUCUAAUCCUCUUCCACCAAACCCCAUCCUCCAUUCUAAACCCUAAUAUUUCGUGUCUCUUUCACAGGACACGCAGACUCUCUCCUCCACCCAUCGCCAUCGCCAUCGCCGGUUCUUUCGAUUUCAAUUAAUGAGAAUUGGCCACUGCACUCCGCCGUUGUCUCCGCCCUGAGCAGUUCCGCUCUUUUCCUGCCUUCAAAUCGAUCUGAUUGUUGAAUCCAAAUUGAAAUUCAGCCCUUUUCUUCCUAAAACGUUGUGGGUUUCUAUCAAUUCUCGACACAAAAUCUUGGAAACCAAUAAAUUUCUCACCUGGGUAAGCUUCAAUUUCCCUAUUUUCCAUUUUUACUACUAUUUGUAUUUUUGAAUGUUUCAAAAUGAGUUAUAUUUGCUGAUUGGUUUUCGAUUUUCUGUUAUCGGGCCUUUUUUUGGUAAUAUCUUCCAACUACAUUGAAUUGGGUUUAUUUGAAACUUUGAUUUUGAAUUGUAAUGUUGCUGGUUCUUCCGUAUUUUAAUGUAUGCUGAUGAACAAUGAUGCAUGCUCAGUUCACUAUAAAUUUAGACGAUCCUAAAUUAGUGUAAUCAUUUUAAGGUCUUAUAAGCUCUACUUUCUAAGCUCUACUUUCACAAUUUACCAUAGUGUAAUCAUUUUAAGGUCAUUUGAAGAAGAGGAGAGUGUGGUGGAGGAGGAAAGUGAUUCCGACGAUGGUGGGUUAAAGGUGUUUUUUCCAAUUUUGGGAUAUCCUGGAAAUUCGUUUUUAUUUGGGCAAUAAUGCCAAGUUCUUGAAAAAGGUAAUUCUUAUUUCUUUAAUCUUCAGAUGAUUAAAUUUCAUAUUUUCACAGUUAUUAUGAGAUCUGGAGAUUUUGUUGAUCAUGUGCUCUUUCUGAUUUUGGUUUGGAUUUCUUAACAAGCUCUUCGAUAAUCAAAUGGUAUUACAUCUGACCUAAUUUCAGUUUCGAUUUUAUUAUAUUUUUGUGUAAUAUUUCUGUAUUUCGAUAGGAUUUUGAAACCUGUAAUGGAAUUGAGGAAGUUGCUGCAAUUAUUAGAGACAAACAAGAAUGUCGAAGAACUCUUUCUUCUGAUCUCAACGACCAUGUCUCCUUUUAUUUAUUUUCUGCUUAAUUAUGGAUUAAUUCAGCAAUUAAUUACAUUUAAUAAUUGUUUUUUUUGUUAUUCGAUUAUCUUUAGCAGGUGCUGGUUGAAGGAAAUUCGCAUAGUCGUACUGCUGUUUUCUGGCUUGAAUAAACAGGACUACGGGUAUUAUGGGCAAGAAACAAGGGGAAGUAGAAAAGGGGCAGAGGAGAUAUGAUAAUGGUAGUGGGGACUUUUAUACAGAGCCAUCAAUGUAGCGGGUGAUUCCAUCUCGAAUUUCAAAGAAAAACAAGGGCCAGAUAUCACCGAACGAGUUCAUCCCCGGGCUUUUGGAUCUUCACUCUCAUGAUGCUGAACUUCUCACUGAGGUUCAGAACUCGAUCGUCGGCAACUGGAGUAGUCGAUCUUUAUUAGUUGUAGAGCAGUCGAUCGAUCUGCAGCAGCAUACCAAAACUCAGUAGCAGUGCAUUGUAUCGCAUAUGCUGCAUACCAAAGGCCAAAGUUCUAAUAUAUAUUUUUUUUUGGCUAAAUCCUCAAUAACAGAUUGGCAUACAACUGGAUUAGGUUUGGAUGAAAAUUUUCUGUUGGAAUUUUUACUGUUAUGAGAACGAUAUGUUGGACAAUAUUGAUGUAGAUGUGAUUAUACAUUUUGCAUCUCAAAAUUCUAGACAAAAUCGAUUUUUAUGAUUUAUAAUAGGAGUUGAAUGAAGAGGAAAAGUUUAAUGUAUGUUUUUACGGAGUAAUACUUUGUAGAACUAAGUUUAUUUAUCAAGUACUUCGUAGUUUUAUGUUGCUUAAAACUAAUUUUUUUUAUUAAGGGGUCAUUUCUCACAUUUUACCUAAGACCCUCAAAUUAUCAUGAUCGGGGCUGGUGAUAAUUAAAUUUAUUUAAAAAUCAGACUAUUUAGUGUUAAUCACCCAUUAUGAAAGUCUAAACAUAGAAUCAAGCAAUUGUGGAAAAAGUCAAAAUUUAUGCAGUUAGCAAGAAAGGAGAUUAUGAAGUAAGAACUGAACAAAAGUUAGUUAAUGACAGUUGUAAUCACACAUGAAAUCUCUCUCUUUUCCUCCACGGAAGCAAUAAUACCAGCUAGCUAUUCUAAAAUGUGCCUAUUAUUUGUAGUGAUUUACGGUAAUAAAUAUAAUCUCUAUUAAUCUCGCACGCAUCGCGUGCAUAUAAGACUAGUAUUAUAUAAGCCAGCUCUUGAGGUCGUUUUUGUAAAUUAACUUUUCGUGUUCCCCAUUAAAUUUACAGAAUUGUCCACCUUAAAAUAAUCCAUUACACCCUUAAGACCUUGGUAAUUAAAAACAAAUUAAUUAAAAAAAAACUGCUAUCCCAAUUCAAUUAGUAACCGAAAACACUCUGAACCGAAAACACUCAGAAAAUCAAACCAUUCGAAUCUCUCUCCAAAUAUUCAAAAACCCUCAUUCAAUCACCCCUAAAUUGCAGAAUUUCGUAAUCCUUCCUUCAACCACCCCUAAAUUGCUCAUUCAAUCACCCUUCAUUCAAUCGUUAAUGGAUAUCCCUCAAUCAAUCACCCCUAAAUGGCAGGAUUUUGUAAACCCUACCCGAAAAUUUCUGCUUAUUCAAUUGCAUUGCAAUGUUUAAAUUCCAACUUCAAGAAUAUCGAUUUCAAGCAUAUUCAUCAAAUUGCGGUCAAAGAUCGGAACUAAUAGGGGUUGGAAAUUAAUUUCUGUAUUCGACGGAGAAAUUGGAGAUGCACCGCUGUUUCUUCACCAACAUUGGAAACCGGAAACUCUGAUUUUCCGACGACUAGGAAGCUGUGGCGAAAUCAGUUAAUAUUCUGAAGAAUCAUGCGUUUGAAUGGUGCCUGGAUUUUCUAUAGAACAUACGGCCAUGGACACGUGAAAGUUCUUCUUAUAAUUGGUUUAGCUGGGAUACAUGAUUCAUGGGGCCUCAAAUCAGAGGGUUGGCUGGGACUGAGGUACCCAAUGAUGAUGAAUCAACGGUGGUCGGUUGAUGAUGCGAAUGCAGGGAAUGGGAGUAUGGAGGUUUGUGCAGGGAACGGGUCUGGAGCUUGGCUCCUAUGAAAGGUCCGAGUAUACGUAAUUUUUUUACAAGAAUGGUUAUUUUUUUUAUUGAAUUUGAUGUUUAUUUGUGGAAUUGUUGAACAAUUUUAAAUUAUGAGAUGAACUCACAUUAGGAGGUGGUAGUGGUGUCAAACAACAAACUUCAGGCUUCAGAUUCAAAGAUAACUUUAAACCGAUGUCAUAUUAGAGCUGAUUGUCUGAUACAAGUGAAUUUGAUGCGAUUUGAGAUCCAAUACAACAGAAUAACUGAUUUUCUGCUAGGGUUUAUGCUGGGACAAUGUUUUUAGGUUGAAAUAAGCCCUUGAUUGAACUGAACUGAAUAGUGAGAGAACUGCAAUUUUUGCAUUGUGUUUUUUUUGUUAUUGAUCACUAUUCCAAACUUUGGAUUUGUGACUUACACUAAUGUGUUUGAUGCCAAUUUUUAUAUUUUAGUGUCGGCAUUGAACAAAGCUGGGUACCCUGAUAUGUAAAUCAUAGUAGGAGAAGUAGGUUGGCCAACUCAUGGUGAUAUACAUACCAAAUCA